rnacentral:rRNA from 1 species
GAUGAACGCUAGCUACAGGCUUAACACAUGCAAGUCGAGGGGUAACGAGAGGGAAGCUUGCUUUCCUUGUCGACGACCGGCGCACGGGUGAGUAACGCGUAUCCAACCUGCCCCCAACUAAGGAAUAACCUUGCGAAAGUAAGACUAAUACCCUAUAAUUUCCUCAGAUGACAUCUGACGAGGAAUAAAGAUUUAUCGGUUGUGGAUGGGGAUGCGUCUGAUUAGCUUGUUGGCGGGGUAACGGCCCACCAAGGCAACGAUCAGUACGGGUUCUGAGAGGAAGGUCCCACACAUUGGAACUGAGACACGGUCCAAACUCCUACGGGAGGCAGCAGUGAGGAAUAUUGGUCAAUGGGCGGAAGCCUGAACCAGCCAAGUAGCGUGCAGGAUGACGGCCCUAUGGGUUGUAAACUGCUUUUAUACAGGAAUAAAGUUAGCCACGUGUGGUUAUUUGUAGGUACUGUAUGAAUAAGGACCGGCUAAUUCCGUGCCAGCAGCCGCCGCCGUAA